rnacentral:rRNA from 1 species
GGUGCAAGCGUUGUUCGGAAUUAUUGGGCGUAAAGAGCGUGUAGGCGGCUGAAUAAGUCAGAUGUGAAAUCCCUGGGCUUAACUCAGGAAGUGCAUUUGAAACUAUUCAGCUUGAGUAGGGGAGAGGAAAGUGGAAUUCCUGGUGUAGAGGUGAAAUUCGUAGAUAUCAGGAGGAACACCGGUGGCGAAGGCGACUUUCUGGCCCUAUACUGACGCUGAGACGCGAGAGCGUGGGUAGCAAACAGGAUUAGAUACCCUGGUAGUCCACGCUGUAAACGAUGUUCACUAGGUGUUGGGGGUAUUGACCCUCUCAGUGCCGAAGCUAACGCAUUAAGUGAACCGCCUGGGGAGUACGGUCGCNAGAUUAAAACUCAAAGGAAUUGACGGGGGCCCGCACAAGCGGUGGAGCAUGUGGUUUAAUUCGAUGCAACGCGAAGAACUUACCUAGCUUGACAUCCCUGGAAUUCCCUGGAAACACCGAAUUCCUUUCCGGGAACCAAGAAACAAGUUGCUGCAUGCUGUCGUCACUC